rnacentral:rRNA from 1 species
AGCUUGCUCCCUGAUGUUAGCGGCGGACGGGUGAGUAACACGUGGGUAACCUGCCUGUAAGACUGGGAUAACUCCGGGAAACCGGGGCUAAUACCGGAUGGUUGUUUGAACCGCAUGGUUCAAACAUAAAAGGUGGCUUCGGCUACCACUUACAGAUGGACCCGCGGCGCAUUAGCUAGUUGGUGAGGUAACGGCUCACCAAGGCGACGAUGCGUAGCCGACCUGAGAGGGUGAUCGGCCACACUGGGACUGAGACACGGCCCAGACUCCUACGGGAGGCAGCAGUAGGGAAUCUUCCGCAAUGGACGAAAGUCUGACGGAGCAACGCCGCGUGAGUGAUGAAGGUUUUCGGAUCGUAAAGCUCUGUUGUUAGGGAAGAACAAGUACCGUUCGAAUAGGGCGGUACCUUGACGGUACCUAACCAGAAAGCCACGGCUAACUACGUGCCAGCAGCCGCGGUAAUACGUAGGUGGCAAGCGUUGUCCGGAAUUAUUGGGCGUAAAGGGCUCGCAGGCGGUUUCUUAAGUCUGAUGUGAAAGCCCCCGGCUCAACCGGGGAGGGUCAUUGGAAACUGGGGAACUUGAGUGCAGAAGAGGAGAGUGGAAUUCCACGUGUAGCGGUGAAAUGCGUAGAGAUGUGGAGGAACACCAGUGGCGAAGGCGACUCUCUGGUCUGUAACUGACGCUGAGGAGCGAAAGCGUGGGGAGCGAACAGGAUUAG